GGCAGAUGAUGUCCAUUCUCACGAUGGUCUUCAGACAUUCCCACGGACACUGCUGAGAACAGCCAGUUGGCAAGGCUGAUGCCAGAAA
ensembl:snoRNA